AUAUUGUGAUUUGGACAUCUUUUGAGUAAUAGUUUGAAUCUCUCCCAAGCAUCAUACAAAGAUUCAACAUCAUCUUAUUCAAAGCUUGAAAUCUCAACUCUUAUUUC